UACGGGGGGGGCAAGCGUUGUUCGGAAUUACUGGGCGUAAAGGGCUCGUAGGCGGCCAACUAAGUCCGACGUGAAAUCCCCAGGCUCAACCUGGGAACUGCGUCGGAUACUGGAUGGCUUGAAUUCGGGAGAGGGAUGCAGAAUUCCAGGUGUAGCGGUGAAAUGCGUAGAUAUCUGGAGGAAUACCGGUGGCGAAGGCGGCAUCCUGGACCAUAACUGACGCUGAGGCGCGAAAGCUAGGGGAGCAAACGGG
rnacentral:rRNA from 1 species